rnacentral:rRNA from 1 species
AAUCAACGCUGGCGGCAUGCCUAACACAUGCAAGUCGUACGAGAAAGUGGAGCAAUCCAUGAGUAAAGUGGCGCACGGGUGAGUAACACGUGACUAACCUACCUCCGAGUGGGGAAUAACUCCGGGAAACCGGGGCUAAGACCGCAUAAUGUCGAGAGACCAAAUGCGAAAGCAGCUUGGAGAGGGGGUCGCGGUUGAUUAGCUAGUUGGUGAGGUAAUGGCUCACCAAGGCGAUGAUCAAUAGCCGGCCUGAGAGGGCGCACGGCCACACUGGAACUGAAACACGGUCCAGACUCCUACGGGAGGCAGCAGUGGGGAAUUUUGCGCAAUGGGGGAAACCCUGACGCAGCAAUGCCGCGUGGAGGAUGAAGUCCUUUGGGAUGUAAACUCCUUUCGAUCGGGAAGAUAAUGACGGUACCGGAAGAAGAAGCCCCGGCUAACUCUGUGCCAGCAGCCGCGGUAAUACAGAGGGGGCAAGCGUUGUUCGGAAUUAUUGGGCG